AUUGUGUCAGCCGCCGCGCGGUAAUACAGAGGGUGCAAGCGUUGUUCGGAUUUACUGGGCGUAAAGCGUGCGUAGGUUGUAUUGAGAGUCGCGGGUGAAAUCCCAGGGCUUAACCCUGGAACUGCUGCGAGACCUCAGUACUGGAGUGUGAGAGAGGAUAGUGGAAUUCCUGGUGUAGCGGUGAAAUGCGUAGAGAUCAGGAGGAACACCUGUGGCGAAGGCGGCUAUCUGGCUCAUAACUGACACUGAGGCACGAAAGCGUGGGUAGCAAACAGGAUUAGAUACCCUGGUAGUCCACGCCGUAAACGAUGCACACUAGGCGUAGCGGAAUUUCAAUUCUGCUGUGUCGAAGCUAACGCGAUAAGUGUGCCGCCUGGGGAGUACGGUCGCAAGACUAAAACUCAAAGGAAUUGACGGGGGCCCGCACAAGCGGUGGAUUAUGUGGUUUAAUUCGAAGCAACGCGAAGAACCUUACCUGGGUUUGACAUCCCUUGACAUCCCUAGAAAUAGGGCUUUGUAGCAAUACACAAGGAGACAGGUGCUGCAUGGCUGUCGUCAGCUCGUGUUGUGAAAUGUUGGGUUAAGUCCCGCAACGAGCGCAACCCCUGCGGUUUGUUGCCAGCAUUAAGUUGGGCACUCUAACCGGACCGCCGGCGUUAAGCCGGAGGAAGGUGGGGAUGACGUCAAGUCCUCAUGGCCCUUACACCCAGGGCUACACACGUAAUACAAUGGAUCUGGACAAAGGGACGCGAACCGGCGACGGGGAGCUAAUCUCAAAAACCAGUCCUCAGUUGGGAUUGGAGGCUGCAAUUCGCCUCCAUGAACGCGGAAUCGCUAGUAAUCGUGGAUCAGAACGCCACGGUGAAUACGUUCCCGGGCCUUGCACACACCGCCCGUCAAAU
rnacentral:rRNA from 1 species